AUCGCUUGAACCCAGAAGACAGAGGUUGCAGUGAGCUGAGAUCACACCACUGCUCUCCAGCCUGGGUGACAGAGUGAGACUCUGUCUCAAAAAACAAAGUAAGUUUAAAAAACACAAAACUGCCUGCCUCCUUCCACAGUGAGAAGCAAUGUGGGACUCAGGCAAGGCUUCCUCCUCUCUGGAUUUAUGGAAAGAGGCCAUGUUCCUCUGUCCCCAGCUCACCUUGGGGCUUCAAUCAUAUGGGCAGGAAUUCACAGAUGUGUUGUUCUUAACUUUGGGAAGUAUCUGAACUGAAUCUCUGCUGAAUUUUGCUCAUCUAUACUAAUUAGCAAUGAGGAUGCCUACAGCAGGUGGCCCUGUGGAGUAUCUCUCAGUAGUAUAUGAGUGACUUCAAUUGAAAGUCAUGGAAAUAGUCCAUAAAUAAAAAAAUCAAAAAUAAAAACCAACAUGUUGAAAAAACAGAAUCUAAGGUAAGCUCCCUGUUUUACUCGGUUUCUGGUUCAUUGUAAUUUCAUGUACAUUCACUUGAGUAUUACUUUAGCAUACGUGUGAGCUUGGCUAGUGUGAUACUGUAGGCAAAUAUUGUAAUUCUCAAGGGGAAGUUUCAAGCAGAAAAUAGGAAGCUAGCAUUGUAAAUCUUUUACAAAUCCUUUCUAAAGAGCAUUGGAGAUUAUGGGAUGGAAAGUGAUAAUCCACCACUACUACAGUAAGCAUGCUUUAGAGCAGUCACUCAAGACAAAACACCCUAAAGCUCCCAUCCAAGCAGGCUUUACUUUCACAUCUACUUUACCUACCUUCCAGUUUUGAGGAAAUUCUAUCUGGAGACAAUAAUUGAGGUUUUCUUUUAAUACCAUUCCUUAUUGCCCUCAUGACUACUCAGCUCACUGAGGCAAGAGAAUCUAUUUUUUCUGAGAGCAUUUAUCAAGGGUGGACACAAAAACAACAAAACAACCACCA
rnacentral:lncRNA from 1 species